CCUACGGGGGGCAGCAGUGAGGAAUAUUGGUCAAUGGGCGAAAUCCUGAACCAGCCAAGCCGCGUGAGGGAAGACGGCUCUAUGGGUUGUAAACCUCUUUUGUAGGAGAAUAAAACCCGGGACGUGUCCCGGUCUGCGUGUAUCUUAUGAAUAAGCAUCGGCUAACUCCGUGCCAGCAGCCGCGGUAAUACGGAGGAUUCGAGCGUUAUCCGGAUUUAUUGGGUUUAAAGGGUGCGUAGGCGGUCCGUUAAGGUAGCGGUUAAAUUUCGGGGCUCAACCCCGGCCGUGCCGUUGAAACUGGCAGGCUUGAGUUGGCGUGAGGUACGCGGAAUGCGCGGUGUAGCGGUGAAAUGCAUAGAUAUCGCGCAGAACUCCGAUUGCGAAGGCAGCGUACCAGGGCAAGACUGACGCUGAGGCACGAAAGCGUGGGGAUCGAACAGGAUUAGAUACCCGAGUAGUC
rnacentral:rRNA from 1 species